UACGCCUACAUUUACAAAGUGCUGA
rnacentral:sRNA from 1 species